rnacentral:tRNA from 1 species
AUUUAAAUAGCUUAUUAAUAGAGUAUAAUAUUGAAGAUAUUAGGGAGAUUGAUUUAAUCUUUAAAUA